rnacentral:rRNA from 1 species
UUCAAUGAGAAUUUGAUCCUGGUUCAGAUUGAAUGCUGACGGCGUGGAUGAGGCAUGCAAGUCGAACGAAGUAGCUUGCUACUUAGUGGCGAAAGGGUUAGUAAUACAUGAGUAACGUACCUCUUUCCUGGGGAUAACGGUUGG